GACCUGGGCCAUGCCACCCUGAACAAGCCCGACGUCUGAUCUCGGAAGCUAAGCAGGGUCGGGCUUGGUUCAUACUUGAAUGGGAGACUACCUAGGAAGACCAGGUGCUGUAGGCA
rnacentral:rRNA from 1 species